rnacentral:sRNA from 1 species
CGCCUAAACCCAUAAUUUAAAUUGCGGGCAUGGCACAAACCCCACAUACGCAUACUGAACCCGUCGUUCAGGCUAUUGCAUAUGUGGUCAUAUUCCGAAAGGAAUAUGGAGGCGCAAGUCUC